ACCAGUGUGGCAUAGUGGUUUGAGUGUUAGAUUACAACUCUGGAGACUAGGGUUUGAUUCCCAACUCCGCCA